rnacentral:rRNA from 1 species
GAUUACCAAACCUAAUCAAACUCCGAAUACCGUUAACUAUAAUUGCAGGAGUCAGACUACGGGAGCUAAGUUUCGUGGUCGAGAGGGAAACAACCCAGACCGUCAGCUAAGGUCCCCAAAUAUGUGCUAAGUGGGAAAGGAAGUGGAAAUGCUCAGACAGCCAGGAGGUUGGCUUAGAAGCAGUCAUCCUUUAAAGAAAGCGUAACAGCUCACUGGUCUA